AUGACAAGGCCUUUUCAGACUGUUAUUGAACUGUAUGAUCGUGGACAUCAGUAUUUUCCUGAGCUCAUGGCUGAUGUCCUGAUGUUCUAUGCAUCUAAAAUAGCGCCCAAAACCAGAGUCUCGUUCUAUACAUUGUCUGCGUUUCAAUUUUUGGACACACUUUUAACCACACAUCUGAAAUUAUUAUCCUGGACACAGUUUAACCACACAUCUGAAAUUAUCUAUUACCUCUGUCCCAAAAUUCUUGUCUUAUAUACAGUAGUGCUUGUCUUAUACAGUAGUACUUGUCUUAUACAGUAG
rnacentral:rRNA from 1 species